UGAGGAAUAUUGGACAAUGGGCGCAAGCCUGAUCCAGCCAUGCCGCGUGCAGGAUGACGGUCCUAUGGAUUGUAAACUGCUUUUGUACAGGAAGAAACAGUUCUACGUGUAGAACCUUGACGGUACUGUAAGAAUAAGGAUCGGCUAACUCCGUGCCAGCAGCCGCGGUAAUACGGAGGAUCCAAGCGUUAUCCGGAAUCAUUGGGUUUAAAGGGUCCGUAGGCGGUUAGAUAAGUCGGUGGUGAAAGCCCAUCGCUCAACGGUGGAACGGCCAUUGAUACUGUCUGACUUGAAUUAUUAGGAAGUAACUAGAAUAUGUAGUGUAGCGGUGAAAUGCUUAGAGAUUACAUGGAAUACCAAUUGCGAAGGCAGGUUACUACUAAUGGAUUGACGCUGAUGGACGAAAGCGUGGGUAGCGAACAGGAUUAGAUACCCUAGUAGUCCCUGAGCGGGCUGGCAAGGCGCAU
rnacentral:rRNA from 1 species